rnacentral:scRNA from 1 species
GUCCGCCAGUCGUUGAACACCCGGCGACAAACA